AAUGUUUUUCCUGACAAUUUGAAUUUGGAAAGGAACGAUUUUAUCUUCCUUUCUCCACUGUGUACCAUAGAGGGAAAUCUGGGAGAGCUGACUUCAGUAAGGAUUCUUACUUUUUGCUGAUUUCUGUCAGUUUUCACCAGAUCCUAUCUGCAGGCUCUGGAAUGAGUGGGGUGUCCCAGUGGAUCUCAUCUUGGUCACCAGAAACUGUAGAGGAAGAAAGAUUAUUUCUCCUCCACCCUUUAUGAAUUCCUGACCUGGAAUGAACAUCCAUCAAAAUUGUUUUUAAAGAUUCUCAUCCCUCUCUCAUCAAUCUGUUCUUCAUCUCAAGUGUGAAAGCCCUGGAAUGAGAUAACAAAAACAAAGACUGAUACAACUUGGCCAAGUUCACAUCAUGUCCAAAAUGAUCUCACCCAUGAGCAAGUACUUCUGUAAAAAAUAGGAAUGGCUAUUGUCCGUAAGAUGAUUCUACUUCAAGCUCUGCAGAAAGUCCAGAAACAAGGAAACACAAACUGCCUGGCUCCCAACUUGAAAUAAGAGUAAGAGGAAGAAAUAGAAGACAAACACCAACUAUUGUCUUAAAAAUGCUGUUCUAUCAUGUGUAUAUCACCAGGAUCUACAGCUUGAAUUAUAUACAGGUUCAUCAGUAUUGCACCUCUGAAAUCAUGUGGCAUAUGACAAGAAAGUCUCAUUACCUCAAGCCACCUGGAAGUGUGGCUAAUCAACCACGUCUCAGCUCCUGUGAGUUGGUGAUUAUACCUGAAAUGGAUGCCAGCAGGAUCCAUAAACAGCAGCUAGAUGAAGGAAUGAGGAGAUUCCAUUAGUGGGGUAAGCGGAAUAAAUAUUUUAAAACCGUUGGAGAAGAGUUUAAGAGGUCAGACAAAAAUACCUACAGCUGGAAAGUGAGUCUACCAUCUAUUCUGAAACUGAAGGAUAUAUAGAAUUUUUGGUUUAGGGAGUCUUUAAACUCAUCUAACUCAGAAAUCAUCAUGUAGAUUCUGUGGGUCCAUGGAGGGGCUUAAAGUUUUCUGGAAAUGUUUGAUUGGUAUUCCAUUUAUAAAUAGUGGGGGUUUUUUCUUCUUGUUUUUUUGUUUUUUGUUUUUUGGGUUUUUUUUUUUUUGCUAUCUGUAACACUGUAAUAAAAAUAGAAAGUAAACUUAAAUAUUAAAUAUAUUGUGUAAAUAUACUUAAAUAUAUUGUGAAGGGAUACCAAAUGGGUGUGUAAAAUACAACUUAACUUGAGAUCCUGACUUUCACAUAAGAUGGGACUCCACGGGGCCCAUCCUGGAGUAAUAUCUGUUAAACCCAGGUGAUGCUACACCCCUCCUCUGUUCAACAUCUACACUGGCUUCCCACUGUACUCUAGGGGCCUAACCCAGUCCCACAGGUGCUUCAGGACACACCCCUUACCUUGCCAACCUCGUUUCUCACCACGUUUUCUUUGCUCACAUAUUAGCCUCCUUGCUGCUCCUAGAAAGUAUCACCCUUGCUCCUAUCUGCCUGCAAUGUUCUUUCCAUAGGCACCACUGUAUUUUGCUUCCUCGCCUCCUUCAAGAGUUUGCUGAUAUGCCAUCUUGUGAACGAGACCCUUCCUGACCACUGUAUUUAAAAAUUGACUCCCUGUCUCUAAGCCUCUAAUCCUCUUCUCUUACUCAUGUAUUCAUAUAUUUUCUCACCAUCUUACACACUGUGCAAUUCAGUGUUGUGUUUUAUUUUACUGUCUGGCAUCCCCCACUAGUGUGCAAGCUCUCCAAGGCAAGGACAAGGGAAUUUGGUUUGCUUUAUUAUACCUAGAACCUCACCACAUCGAAGGUGCUUAGUAAAUCAUGUUGAAUAAACGAAUACAGGGCUAGAUGAUCAGUGGAAUAAAAGAUCAAAUGCCACCUCAGAAAGGCCAGAGUAAGUGAUCAAAUUUUCUUUAUACAUUUGUAUCUGUGUUUGUGUAUUGUAACACUGAAUGUGUUAAAAUAUAUAUUGACACUUUUAUCUCUUAUUCCAAAUCGUUAUUGCAGUUUGUCUUAUACACACACAGGUGCCCAUGCAUUUAUUGAUCACUUGCUUAAAUACACACACACACACACACACACACACACACACACACACGAAUCAUAUUCAAAUAUAGGCUAUAUUUGUUAAGCACCUUCUGUGGUCCAAACCUUAUACUGGGAUUCUUCAUCUCGUUUAACUCAAUUGAUCUGCAAAACAACUUACAAAGCUAUUAAGGUAUUUCAAUAGAAGUUAAACCCUGAAAGCAAGAGAAAGAGGGAUUUUAGAAUUCUCCACCUACCUUCUAGUCACUGCAAGGAUUUGACAGGUUAUCAUAAAGGUAGAAAGUCCACAUAUUUGAGUAGACUCUUCCUUAUUCUAAUUCAACAGUCCUCAAACUGAAAUGGCAUUAAAUACAUCACACAGGGAUAUAUAUGGAAGAUCAUGUAUAAUCUACUUCAUAGGCAAAUAGGGAUUAUAAAGAGUAAUUUUUACUCAACCUGAUUUUUAGCUUAUUUUCUAAUUUAACCUGUUAAAAAUGUCACUUCAGUUUUGUCUUAACAUGAACCUCAUUGUGAUUGCAAGUUACCUGGUUUCUUUUUGCCUGAACUUCAGAAUACAGCUUCAACUGUCAUAUAUAUUUUUUAACUUUAUUUAUUUUUGAUAGAGAGAGAGCAAGAGUGAGCUAGGGAGGGGCAGAGAAAGAGGGAGACACAGAAUCUGAAGCAGGCUCCAGACUCCGAGCUGUCAGCACAGAGCCCGAAGCAGGGCUCCAGCUCCCGAACUGUGAGAUCAUGACCUGGGCCGAAGUCGGACGCUUAAACCGACUGAGGCACCCAGGCGCCCCUCAACUGUCAUAUGUGUGCACAUACCUAAACAUUUUGUUAAGCAACGCUGGAACAAGAAGGUUGUUGUUCUUCUCCACUCUCUUUAAAAUUCAGACUUGCUUGUGUCCGCUCACAUAAAAUCACAGCAGCAAACUCAUCUGUUCUGUGUCUGCUCUUCACAGCAUGGUUGUCAGCAAUACAAGGACAAGAAAACACUGCAAGUGUUAGAAUAUAUAGACAGCUUUAUCUCCCAUUCCAAAUUGUUGGUGCUUCUGUCUGAUUGCUGUAUUUUGAUUAUGAGAGCUUUUUUUAUUCUUUUUUGAUAUUGUAAGUAAAAAUCAAAACCCCCUACUUCUCUUUUAAGAAUUUGGAUCAGUUUAAUUUCAGAGUGUCCUGAGAUUGCAAGGUGAACUGUUAAAAAAUUGCUACUAUUAAUAACCACUUAUCUGCUUGAAACAGGAUUUUAUUUUUGAAAUCAUCUAACGAAAACUCCACAGGAAUGAAUUGUAGGCUGAAUUCUCUCUAAGACUAAUUGUCAUCUACAGUCUCCAAUGUCAAAGUUGUUGUUCCUUCCUUGAGUCUAUCAUACUCAUCAAAGCAGCAUCAUUGUCCCUGAUUGAAUUUUUCAGCAAGCAAUUAUUACAAAUUUUAAAUUAAUUUAAAUAAAUAUACACUUGUUUGUUUUAAGCAAAGGGUUUUAGAAUAAGAUUUUCUCUCUCUCUCUCUUUAAGGUUCUGCUACUCAAAAUAGUUUAAAAUUCACUGCUGUCGCCAAGGGGUUGGUAAACAUUGUCUGAAAGGGCCAAAUACUAAAUAUUUAUUUUUUUCAAGCCAAGAGGCAAAACUGAGGAUAUGAUGUACUUAUAUAAUUUUUAAAAUGUAAAACCAUUUUUAAAGUUCAAGAAUCAUUCUUAAUUUUGAAGCCACCAAACCAAGGUGGUGGGCUGGAUUGGGGCCUGUGGGCUGUAGUUUGCCAACCUCUGUGCUGGCCCAACAUCAUUCUUUUUGUAGGUCAAGAAAUACUUAGCAGAAGUGAAUGUUCUAUGGAAGGUUUAUAGACGCUGUAGCAGCAUUGAGAGCAGAGCGUGAACUGCACUGUGGGCCUCUCGGUGUCUGACAUUGCUGGAUUGAUUGUUAAUGAAAACUUAACAAGAAAAGAGGCCCAGAUGUAAACAUCCAAAGACCCUAGACCAGGGGCACCUGGGUGGCUCAGGCGGUUAGGUGACCAACUCUUGAUUUUGGCUCCGGUCAUUAUCUCAUGGUCCACGAGGU